rnacentral:tRNA from 3 species
GCUGGGGUACCGAAGCGGUCAAACGGGACAGACUGUAAAUCUGUUGGCAUUACGCCUUCGAUGGUUCGAGUCCAUCCCCCAGCA